GAUGAACGCUGGCGGCGUGCCUAAUACAUGCAAGUCGAGCGAACAGACGAGGAGCUUGCUCCUCUGACGUUAGCGGCUGACGGGUGAGUAACACGUGGAUAACCUACCUCUAAUACUUGGAUAACUUCGUGAAACCGGAGCUACUACCGGCUAAUAUAUUGAACCGCAUGGUUCAAUAGUGCAUGACGGUUUUGCUGUCACUUAUAGAUGGAUCCGCGCCGCAUUAGCUAGUUGGUAAGGUACCGGCUUACCAAGGCAACGAUGCGUAGCCGACCUGAGAGGGUGAUCAGCCACACUGGAACUGAGACACGGUCCAGACUCCUACGGGAGGCAGCAGUAGGGAAUAUUGCGCAAUGGGCGAAAGCCUGACGGAGCAACGCCGCGUGAGUGAAGAAGGUCUUCGGAUCGUAAAACUCUGUUAUUAGGGAAGAAAAAAUGUGGAAGUAACUAUGGACGUCUUGACGGUACCUAAACAGAAAGCAACGGCUAACUACGUG
rnacentral:rRNA from 1 species